rnacentral:rRNA from 1 species
UCAAGCUACAAAGGGCGCAUGGUGAAUGCCUUGGCAUCAGGAGCCGAUGAAGGACGUGAUAAGCUGCGAUAAGCUUCGGGUAGGCGCACAUAGCCUGAGAUCCGAAGAUCUCCGAAUGAGGAAACUCACAUGGGAAACCCCAUGUAUCAUUAAGUGAAUACAUAGCUUAAUGAAGGUAACCCAGGGAACUGAAACAUCUAAGUACCUGGAGGAAGAGAAAGAAAAAUCGAUUUUCUUAGUAGCGGCGAGCGAAAGGGAAAGAGCCCAAACCGGAAACUUGUUUCCGGGGUUGUGGACAGAAUAUAACGAUUGGUAGGACGUAAUCGAAGAGAACUGGAAAGUUCCACCGUAGAAGGUAAUAGUCCUGUAGAUGAAACGGGAAAUCAAUCAGUUCUGAUCCAGAGUACCACGAGACACGUGAAACCUUGUGGGAAGCAGGGAGGACCACCUCCCAAGGCUAAAUACUACCUGAUGACCGAUAGUGAAGCAGUACCGUGAGGGAAAGGUGAAAAGAACCCCGGGAGGGGAGUGAAAUAGAACCUGAAACCGUGUGCCUACAACCGCUCAGAGCCCCUUAUGAGGGUGAUGAGGUGCUUUUUGUAGAACGAGCCAACGAGUUACGGUAUGUAGCAAGGUUAAGUACUUAAGGUACGGAGCCGAAGGGAAACCGAGUCUGAAUAGGGCGACUAGUUGCAUGCCGUAGACCCGAAACCGGGUGACCUAUCCAUGGCCAGGUUGAAGCGAGGGUAAAACCUCGUGGAGGACCGAACCACGUUGCUGUUGAAAAAGCAUGGGAUGAGCUGUGGAUAGCGGAGAAAUUCCAAUCGAACUCGGAGAUAGCUGGUUCUCCCCGAAAUAGCUUUAGGGCUAGCGUCGGAUAUGUGUAGUGGAGGUAGAGCACUGAAUGGGCUAGGGGGCAUAGCGCUUACCGAACCUUAUCAAACUCCGAAUGCCACAUACUUUGAGCUCGGCAGUCAGACUACGAAUGAUAAGAUCCGUGGUCAAAAGGGAAACAGCCCAGAUCGUCAGCUAAGGUCCCAAAGUGUAAGUUAAGUGGGAAAGGAUGUGAGAUUUCUAAGACAACUAGGAUGUUGGCUUAGAAGCAGCCAUUCAUUAAAAGAGUGCGUAAUAGCUCACUAGUCGAGAGAUCUUGCGCCGAAAAUGUAACGGGGCUAAACUUACCACCGAAGCUACGGGCUUGAACUUAGUUCAAGCGGUAGGAGAGCGUCGUAACCGGGCUGAAGUCGUACCGUAAGGAGCGGUGGACUGGUUACGAGUGAGAAUGUUGGCAUCAGUAGCGAGAUGUGGGUGAGAAUCCCACAGGCCGAAAACCUAAGGUUUCCUCAGGAAGGUUCGUCCGCUGAGGGUUAGUCGGGACCUAAGCCGAGGCCGAAAGGCGUAGGUGAUGGACAACUGGUUGAUAUUCCAGUACCACUACCAUCGUUAUUAUCGAUGGCGUGACGCAGGAGGAUAGUGUGUGCUAGCUAUUGGAUGCUAGUCUAAGCGUUUAGGCAGUGAGAGUAGGCAAAUCCGCUCUCAUAAUGCUGAGGCGUGAUGGGGAAGGUUCUACGGAACCGAAGUACAUGAUUCCACGCUGCCAAGAAAAGCGUCUAGAGAGAGAAGUAGUGCCCGUACCGCAAACCGACACAGGUAGGUGAGGAGAGAAUCCUAAGGCCGGCGGAAGAAUUACAGUUAAGGAACUCGGCAAAUUGACCCCGUAAGUUCGCGAGAAGGGGUGCCUACGAGAGUAGGCCGCAGAGAAUAGGCCCAAGCAACUGUUUAGCAAAAACACAGGUCUCUGCUAAAGCGUAAGCUGAUGUAUAGGGGCUGACGCCUGCCCGGUGCUGGAAGGUUAAGGGGAACACUUAGCGCAAGCGAAGGUGUGAACUUAAGCCCCAGUAAACGGCGGCCGUAACUAUAACGGUCCUAAGGUAGCGAAAUUCCUUGUCAGGUAAG